GAUGAAGUUCCAUCCAGUGAAUCAAUCAAACUUAUGGGAACUGGAGAAAUCAUACCAUCUGAAGCUCAGCCUGAAGAGGAACUUAUCAUCUCCGCACCUGAUCAACCUGAAGACAAUGCUCAGCCUAAAGACAAUCCUUCUAAAGACGACAAUGAUCAGCAAGAGCAAAAUCUUCGUCCUGUACAUCCUCGUGUUGCAAAUGAAGUACAGAUUGAGAGAAUAAUUGAUAGCAUCAAUGCACCAGGUCCACUCACUCGUUCAAGGGCAACACAGCUAGAAAAUUUCUGUGGGCACUUCGCAUUCGUCACAAUAUCUGAACCCAAGAAAGUUGAUGAAGCCUUCAUGGAACCUGAAUGGAUUCAAGCUAUGCAAGAAGAGCUUCAACAGUUUGAGCUGAAUAAUGUAUGGGAACUGGUUAAGCGUCCUGAUCCUCGUAAGCACAAUAUAAUAGGCACUAAAUGGAUAUAUCGCAACAAGCAAGAUGAGCAUGGUCAAGUUGUCAGUAACAAAGCUCGUCUCGUUGCU
rnacentral:rRNA from 1 species